UGUGCUGGGUUGUGCUGGGAUGGUGUGGAAUUGUGUGGGACGUGCUGGGUUGUGCUGGGAUGGGGCUGGGAUGUUUUUGGAUAGUGCUGGGAUGUGCUGGGAUGGUGUGGGCAAUCUGUUGUUUGUUAAUCUAUUCAUUUGUAAUCUUAUCACUGGUAAACUGUAACAACAGCAGGGCCCAGUUUCCUACUAUAGACAUCCGGAAACACCAACAAACACAGCAAUUUAAGGUAUGGACCCCAGGACUUACACAGCUUUAAAGAUUCUGCGUAGGGAUUAUGAACGGAUGUAUUGCAAAGAUGCCAGGCCUCCCCAUCUGACAAGACAAAGGAUGGCUGCCUAACAACAGGACCACACCUGCGCAAGAGAUAUUGUGCAGCCACGAACACAGGCUAGUGAACUGUAUAAAGACUGCCAGCUGGAAAGGGAAAGCGCGCGCCGUUGGUGGAGCAGAGACUCCCCGGCCGCCCAGCGCUGUUUUGCUUACUUGCUUGCUUUAAUAAAAGACGAUUUCCAUAAUAUAUAA